AUUGAACGCUGGCGGCAGGCCUAACACAUGCAAGUCGAGCGAGCGGCGGACGGGUGAGUAAUGUCUGGGAAACUGCCUGAUGGAGGGGGAUCACUACUGGAAACGGUAGCUAAUACCGCAUACCAUCAGAUGUGCCCAGAUGGGAUUAGCUAGUAGGUGGGGUAAUGGCUCACCUAGGCGACGAUCCCUAGCUGGUCUGAGAGGAUGACCAGGCACAAGGGAAAUGAGACACGGUCCAGAAUCCGACGGGAGGCAGCAGGGGGGAAUAUUGCACAAUGGGGGCAAGCCGGAUGCAGCCAUGGCGCGGGUGGGAAGAAGGCCUUCGGGUUGUAAAGCACUUUUAGCGAGGAGGCGUUAACUGAAGAAGAAGCACCGGCUAACUCCGUGGCAGCAGCCGCGGUAAUAC
rnacentral:rRNA from 1 species